AUGGUUACGCCUCACUCCCCAAUUGUUGUUAUGGGUCUUGAUAGGGCAACAAUUGAAAGAUAUCCUAAAACUCAGCUUGGUGUAAGUGGACGAUUGCCUAGGCCUAAUGAUAAUAUAUGCUCUAUAUGCCUUUGUGAGUAUCAACCCAAUGAAGUAUUGAUGACUAUUCCUGAGUGUAAUCACUAUUUUCAUGCUAAUUGUAUAGAUGGGUGGCUCAAAACAAAUGCUACUUGCCCUUUGUGUAGAAAUUUUCCAGAGAUGUCUAUUUCGUUUGCUUCAGUUUUUCCUGUAUCUCCAACUUCGUAA